rnacentral:rRNA from 1 species
UGGGGAAUUUUGGACAAUGGGGGAAACCCUGAUCCAGCCAUCCCGCGUGUGCGAUGAAGGCCUUCGGGUUGUAAAGCACUUUUGGCAGGAAAGAAACGUCGCGGGUUAAUACCCCGCGAAACUGACGGUACCUGCAGAAUAAGCACCGGCUAACUACGUGCCAGCAGCCGCGGUAAUACGUAGGGUGCAAGCGUUAAUCGGAAUUACUGGGCGUAAAGCGUGCGCAGGCGGUUCGGAAAGAAAGAUGUGAAAUCCCAGAGCUUAACUUUGGAACUGCAUUUUUAACUACCGGGCUAGAGUGUGUCAGAGGGAGGUGGAAUUCCGCGUGUAGCAGUGAAAUGCGUAGAUAUGCGGAGGAACACCGAUGGCGAAGGCAGCCUCCUGGGAUAACACUGACACUCAUGCACGAAAGCGUGGGGAGCAAACAGGAUUAGAUACCCUGGUAGUCCACGCCCUAAACGAUGUCAACUAGCUGUUGGGGCCUUCGGGCCUUGGUAGCGCAGCUAACGCGUGAAGUUGACCGCCUGGGGAGUACGGUCGCAAGAUUAAAAACUCAAAGGAAUUGACGGGGGCCAUAGCUGUUUCCU